rnacentral:lncRNA from 1 species
GCCCUGCGCAGGCCACCGGUGCCGUCCCAGGCCCGCGAGGUCAGGCGCGGGCCGGCCACAGGGGGCACUUGCGUUCCCCGAUCCCAGAUCCGGGAGACCGUGCCGGCUGCGGGUGCGCGCGGAGACUGUUCUGUGUGCUGGAACUUGCCGCGCCUGCAUUUUAAAGUAUGGAGCCCAGGCUGGUGGAAGUAGUGCAGAGAGCAGAACACUGGCUUAUAUGAGGUCCGAGGUUCAUCCCUUGCUCCUGGGGACAGAGGAAUCUCAACCCAGGUGAUGUUACACAGGUCUUCUGACACCCCCAUACCGGCAUACAUGCAGGCAAAACACCAAUGAACAUAAAAUAAGCCUUUAAUCCCAGCACUCAAGAGGCA